AGCUCAGGCCCCUACCUUGACACACACAUGAGAGAGGAGUAAAGUUUCGGGGACCCGGAGCCCAAAGGUAGUUCCACAGUGACAAGGUGCCCAGCUCGCGGGAUUAGUCAUCCACCUUUCUGAUAAGAAAAGUGAAAACACGAAGUUGAAAACUGCAGACCCCCAGCAACUUCCUGAAUCCAGCUCUCCGCGUCCUGCCCUAAGGAACGGGCGCCUCCCAAAAAGGAAUCGUUAGUGGAAGUCCCACGUUUCGCUGGCGUUGGAAGGGGAAGUGCUUCGGUUUCAGGAUCUCACCUCACUGCCGGAACCUCCUUAAUUAUCAGAUGCAGCCCCGAAUCCUCCAACACGCUUCAGCCAACAGACUUGUCCUUCAGUAAUCACAGUAGCCUGUCGUCCAGCUGAAAGGUUCACAAGCACCCCGAGGACAAUGUUGAACACUUGUGAUCAUUGAGACAGCCAGUAUUUAUGGAGUGGUUGCUAUGUACCAGGCGAGACUUAACCUACCCUGAGCGGGUGGGGUGGUGUGGGAGGCUGAAUAGCUGCCCCUCAAAGACACCCACGUCCUAACCCCCAGAGCCUCUGACCGUUACCUUACAUGGCCAAAAAAGGACUUUGCAGACGUGAUUAAAUUAAGGCUUUUGAGACAGGG
rnacentral:lncRNA from 1 species